AUUGAACGCUGGCGGCAUGCCUUACACAUGCAAGUCGAACGGCAGCACGGAGCUUGCUCUGGGUGGCGAGUGGCGAACGGGUGAGUAAUAUAUCGGAACGUACCUGGAGUGGGGGAUAACGUAGCGAAAGUUACGCUAAUACCGCAUACGAUCUACGGAUGAAAGUGGGGGAUCGCAAGACCUCAUGCUCGUGGAGCGGCCGAUAUCUGAUUAGCUAGUUGGGUAGGGGUAAAAGGCCUACCAAGGCAUCGAUCAGUAGCUGGUCUGAGAGGACGACCAGCCACACUGGAACUGAGACACGGUCCAGACUCCUACGGGAGGCAGCAGUGGGGGAAUUUUGGACAAUGGGCGAAAGCCUGAUCCAGCAAUGCCGCGUGAGUGAAGAAGGCCUUCGGGUUGUAAAGCUCUUUUGUCAGGGAAGAAACGGUGAGGGGCUAAUAUCCCUUGCUAAUGACGGUACCUGAAGAAUAAGCACCGGGCUAACUACGUGCCCAGCAGCCGCGGGUAAAUA
rnacentral:rRNA from 1 species